GUGCCAGCCGCCGCGGUAAUACGUAGGUGGCAAGCGUUAUCCGGAAUUAUUGGGCGUAAAGCGCGCGUAGGCGGUUUUUUAAGUCUGAUGUGAAAGCCCACGGCUCAACCGUGGAGGGUCAUUGGAAACUGGAAAACUUGAGUGCAGAAGAGGAAAGUGGAAUUCCAUGUGUAGCGGUGAAAUGCGCAGAGAUAUGGAGGAACACCAGUGGCGAAGGCGACU
rnacentral:rRNA from 1 species